CUGCUGCCUUCCGUAGGAGUCUGGGCCGUGUCUCAGUCCCAGUGUGGGGGGCUUCCUCUCAGAACCCCUACGCAUCGUCGCCACGGUGGGCCGUCACCCCGCCGUCUAGCUAAUGCGCCGCAUGCCCAUCCGCCACCGGAUCGCUCCUUUGGCCACCGGAGGAUGCCCUCCGGUGGCGUCACGGGGUAUUAGGCCGCGUUUCCGCGGGUUAUCCCCCUGUGGCGGCCAGGUUGCAUACGUGUUACUCACCCGUGCGCCGGUCGCCGGG
rnacentral:rRNA from 1 species